UCAAAAUGUCCGUCAUGGAUAGAUACUUGUAUUAUAAUAUUAUUGGUGUUUUACUGUCUGUACAGUUUUAUAAUAUACAAGGCCAAGGGUACAGUUUAUCAGGCUCAUCAUCAUAUGGUAUUAGAGGAGGGGAUUACAGAUUUACAUGCGAGAUAUCGACUGUUAGAAUACCCACAGAUGUAACCUUUACAACUACUAGGACAUUAGUAUGUAGAGUAACACUAUGUCAACAAGCGUCGUCAACAGGACGUGCCAGAUAUACCUGUGGGUGUAUCAAUGGUAACAAUAGAACACUGUAUCUUGAUAUAACAGAUGUUACAUUAACUGAUGCUGUAGAUUGGACCUGUGGAGAUUUUGAUCCUCGUGUUGGUAGUAGUCAACCUGUACCUCUUCUGGUUUAUUAUGGACCUGAGAAUAUCGGAUUUACACCAACAGGUUCUAAUAUAACAGUGAUAGAAAAUGAAAGUAGAUCUGUAAACUGUUCAGCUGACUGUAAUCCACCACCGUGUAAUAUUAACUGGUAUAAAGGAGCUGAUACUAGUGGUAGUAUUUUAACAUCAUCUAGUAAUGGUCUUCUACAACUAAACAACAUCCAGAGACAAGAUACAGCUUAUACAUGUCACGCUCAACAAAGAACCAUAACAACAACCCCACUCACUAAAUCACUACAGAUAACAGUUUAUUGUAAGUAUUACCCUACUCACUACAGAUAACAGUUUAUUGUACAGUAUUACCCUACUCACUACAGAUAACAGUUUAUUGUACAGUAUUACCCUACUCACUAUAGAUAACAGUUUAU